rnacentral:rRNA from 1 species
UACGGAGGGUGCAAGCGUUACUCGGAAUCAUUGGGCGUAAAGCGCACGUAGGCGGUCUCUUAAGUCCGAUGUGAAAUCCCGGGGCUCAACCUCGGAUGGCCAUUGGAAACUGAGAGACUUGAGAGUGGAAGGGGUCAGUGGAAUUCCUGGUGUAGGAGUGAAAUCCGUAGAGAUCAGGAGGAACACCGGUGGCGAAGGCGACUGACUGGGCCAUUUCUGACGCUAAUGUGCAAAAGCGUGGGGAGCAAACAGGAUUAGAUACCCUGGUAGUCCACGCCGUAAACGAUGCUUGCUGGUUGUGGCGUUCCAUGGUGAAUGCCGUAACGAAGCCAACGCGUUAAGCAAGCCGCCUGGGGAGUACGGCCGCAAGGUUAAA